rnacentral:lncRNA from 1 species
GGAACCAUUGGCGCUGUUGGAUUUUGAGUUUGAUGCACGGAUUUCGAGAAAAUCCAAAAAUACAUGUUUUAUAUGUAUUUAGGUGUUAUUUUCUUAUGUUGGAAAGAAGAGUGGAUUGUGUCGUGAAUCCGUGAUUGAUCGAGGUGAAGCGAAAUCGCAGCUUUGUUGUCUCCGUCGUGCUGAUCGCGAUGGCGCUGUCGGAUCGAAAAUCCGAUGGACGGAUUUUCGGGAAACACGAAAUGUUCGCUAAGGGGCCGAAGGUGGCAAAUCGGA